ensembl:lncRNA
GCAUUUAGACAUUUCCCAAAUGUUCUAAUAUUGUUGCAAUCAAUAAGAAAUAAGAUAGAUAAUAUAAUAUUAAGUUUGAAUAAAAUUUUGAAAAUUCUGAAAUAUUUUUCAGACUAAGUAGCUCAUUUAAUCAGUUGUUGAAAGAGUUUUAGGCCCAUUUUGUGAUCAGCACCAGAUAAUGCUGAAUGUGAGAAAAACAAAAUCAUGCUUGAGAAAUGUAUUGCUCUAUCCAACUUUUAGAAAUGGGAAAUAUCCAAGUCUCCAGUGGUGCACAAGACUGUGUGUUUAGCGGAUGAGGUGUCAAGGAAGAGGGAGCUGUUUGAGAAAGAACAAGAGGGAUCCGACAGAAGCCAUGUGUUCUCCAAACAGGAUUUUCGCAGCUUUUCUUCAGGAAUCUCUGAUCGAAUUAAUCGCUGGGUUCAGAAGAAAACAUUUACUGUGUCAUCAUCAGCAUCUUCAUCAUCAUCAUCUCAUAGUCCUUUGGAUCUGA